GGGUUGUGAGGUUAAGCGACUAAGCGUACACGGUGGAUGCCCUGGCAGUCAGAGGCGAUGAAGGACGUGCUAAUCUGCGAAAAGCGUCGGUAAGGUGAUAUGAACCGUUACAGCCGGCGAUGUCCGAAUGGGGAAACCCAGUGCAAUUCGUUGCACUAUCGUUAACUGAAUACAUAGGUUAACGAGGCGAACCGGGGGAACUGAAACAUCUAAGUACCCCGAGGAAAAGAAAUCAACCGAGAUUCCCCCAGUAGCGGCGAGCGAACGGGGAGCAGCCCAGAGUCUGAAUCAGCUUGUGUGUUAGUGGAACGGUCUGGAAAGUCCGACGGUACAGGGUGAUAGUCCCGUACACCAAAAUGCACAGGUUGUGAACUCGAAGAGUAGGGCGGGACACGUGGUAUCCUGUCUGAAUAUGGGGGGACCAUCCUCCAAGGCUAAAUACUCCUGACUGACCGAUAGUGAACCAGUACCGUGAGGGAAAGGCGAAAAGAACCCCGGCGAGGGGAGUGAAAAAGAACCUGAAACCGUGUACGUACAAGCAGUGGGAGCACCUUCGGGUGUGACUGCGUACCUUUUGUAUAAUGGGUCAGCGACUUAUAUUCUGUAGCAAGGUUAACCGUAUAGGGGAGCCGCAGGGAAACCGAGUCUUAACUGGGCGUUAAGUUGCAGGGUAUAGACCCGAAACCCGGUGAUCUAGCCAUGGGCAGGUUGAAGGUUGGGUAACACUAACUGGAGGACCGAACCGACUAAUGUUGAAAAAUUAGCGGAUGACUUGUGGCUGGGGGUGAAAGGCCAAUCAAACCGGGAGAUAGCUGGUUCUCCCCGAAAGCUAUUUAGGUAGCGCCUCGUGAACUCAUCUUCGGGGGUAGAGCACUGUUUCGGCUAGGGGGUCAUCCCGACUUACCAACCCGAUGCAAACUACGAAUACCGAAGAAUGUUAUCACGGGAGACACACGGCGGGUGCUAACGUCCGUCGUGAAGAGGGAAACAACCCAGACCGCCAGCUAAGGUCCCAAAGUCAUGGUUAAGUGGGAAACGAUGUGGGAAGGCACAGACAGCCAGGAUGUUGGCUUAGAAGCAGCCAUCAUUUAAAGAAAGCGUAAUAGCUCACUGGUCGAGUCGGCCUGCGCGGAAGAUGUAACGGGGCUAAACCAUGCACCGAAGCUGCGGCAGCGACACUAUGUGUUGUUGGGUAGGGGAGCGUUCUGUAAGCCUGCGAAGGUGACCUGUGAGGGUUGCUGGAGGUAUCAGAAGUGCGAAUGCUGACAUAAGUAACGAUAAAGCGGGUGAAAAGCCCGCUCGCCGGAAGACCAAGGGUUCCUGUCCAACGUUAAUCGGGGCAGGGUGAGUCGACCCCUAAGGCGAGGCCGAAAGGCGUAGUCGAUGGGAAACAGGUUAAUAUUCCUGUACUUGGUGUUACUGCGAAGGGGGGACGGAGAAGGCUAUGUUAGCCGGGCGACGGUUGUCCCGGUUUAAGCAUGUAGGCUGGUUGUCCAGGCAAAUCCGGAUAAUCAAGGCUGAGGUGUGAUGACGAGGCACUACGGUGCUGAAGUAACAAAUGCCCUGCUUCCAGGAAAAGCCUCUAAGCAUCAGGUAACAUCAAAUCGUACCCCAAACCGACACAGGUGGUCAGGUAGAGAAUACCAAGGCGCUUGAGAGAACUCGGGUGAAGGAACUAGGCAAAAUGGUGCCGUAACUUCGGGAGAAGGCACGCUGGUGUGUAGGUGAAGUCCCUGCGGAUGGAGCUGAGACCAGUCGAAGAUACCAGCUGGCUGCAACUGUUUAUUAAAAACACAGCACUGUGCAAACACGAAAGUGGACGUAUACGGUGUGACGCCUGCCCGGUGCCGGAAGGUUAAUUGAUGGGGUUAUCCGUAAGGAGAAGCUCUUGAUCGAAGCCCCGGUAAACGGCGGCCGUAACUAUAACGGUCCUAAGGUAGCGAAAUUCCUUGUCGGGUAAGUUCCGACCUGCACGAAUGGCGUAAUGAUGGCCAGGCUGUCUCCACCCGAGACUCAGUGAAAUUGAACUCGCUGUGAAGAUGCAGUGUACCCGCGGCAAGACGGAAAGACCCCGUGAACCUUUACUAUAGCUUGACACUGAACAUUGAGCCUUGAUGUGUAGGAUAGGUGGGAGGCUUUGAAGCGUGGACGCCAGUCUGCGUGGAGCCAACCUUGAAAUACCACCCUUUAAUGUUUGAUGUUCUAACGUUGGCCCCUUACCGGGGUUGCGGACAGUGUCUGGUGGGUAGUUUGACUGGGGCGGUCUCCUCCCAAAGCGUAACGGAGGAGCACGAAGGUUAGCUAAUCCUGGUCGGACAUCAGGAGGUUAGUGCAAUGGCAUAAGCUAGCUUGACUGCGAGCGUGACGGCGCGAGCAGGUGCGAAAGCAGGUCAUAGUGAUCCGGUGGUUCUGAAUGGAAGGGCCAUCGCUCAACGGAUAAAAGGUACUCCGGGGAUAACAGGCUGAUACCGCCCAAGAGUUCAUAUCGACGGCGGUGUUUGGCACCUCGAUGUCGGCUCAUCACAUCCUGGGGCUGAAGUAGGUCCCAAGGGUAUGGCUGUUCGCCAUUUAAAGUGGUACGCGAGCUGGGUUUAGAACGUCGUGAGACAGUUCGGUCCCUAUCUGCCGUGGGCGCUGGAGAAUUGAGGGGGGCUGCUCCUAGUACGAGAGGACCGGAGUGGACGCAUCACUGGUGUUCGGGUUGUCAUGCCAAUGGCACUGCCCGGUAGCUAAAUGCGGAAGAGAUAAGUGCUGAAAGCAUCUAAGCACGAAACUUGCCCCGAGAUGAGUUCUCCCUGAGACUUUAAGUCUCCUGAAGGAACGUUAAAGACGAUGACGUUGAUAGGCCGGGUGUGUAAGCGCAGCGAUGCGUUGAGCUAACCGGUACUAAUGAACCGUGAGGCUUAACCUUACAACGCCGAAG
rnacentral:rRNA from 1 species